rnacentral:rRNA from 1 species
UACGUAGGGUCCAAGCGUUAUCCGGAAUCACUGGGCGUAAAGCGUGCGUAGGCGGAUGUUUAAGUGUGAUGUUAAAUCGUGGGGCUCAACCCUGUCGUUGCAUCGCAUACUGGGCAUCUAGAGGACGGCAGAGGCAAGUGGAACUCGUAGUGUAGCAGUGAAAUGCGUAGAUAUUACGAAGAACACCAAUGGCGAAGGCAGCUUGCUGGGCCGACCCUGACGCUGAGGUACGGAAAGCGUGGGGAGCGAACAGG